rnacentral:rRNA from 1 species
CUAGACGUAGUUGAUCAGUGGCUACAGAACGAACGCUGGCGGCGCGCCUAACACAUGCAAGUCGAACGAGAAUCCGGGGCAACCCGGUAGUAAAGUGGCAAACGGGUGAGGAAUACAUGGGUAACCUACCCUUGAGAAGGGAAUAACCCGCCGAAAGGUGAGCUAAUACCCUAUACGCUAUCUUUUUUUCGAAAAGGAUAGGAAAGCCGGGUCGAGGACCUGGUACUCAAGGAGGGGCUCAUGUCCUAUCAGCUUGUUGGUGGGGUAACGGCCUACCAAGGCUACGACGGGUAGCUGGUCUGAGAGGAUGAUCAGCCACACUGGCACUGAGAUACGGGCCAGACUCCUACGGGAGGCAGCAGUGAGGAAUAUUGCGCAAUGGGCGAAAGCCUGACGCAGCGACGCCGCGUGGGGGAUGAAGGUUUUCGGAUUGUAAACCCCUUUCAUGAGGAAAGAUAAAGUGGGUAACCACUUAGACGGUACCUCAAGAAGAAGCCACGGCUAACUUCGUG